rnacentral:misc_RNA from 1 species
GAUGAAGAACGCAGCGAAAUGCGAUACUUGGUGUGAAUUGCAGAAUCCCGUGAACCAUCGAGUCUUUGAACGCAAGUUGCGCCCGAAGCCACUAGGCCGAGGGCACGCCUGCCUGGGCGUCACACGCCGUUGCCCCCCCAUCUACUCCUUCGGGAUUGCGGGGGGGCGGAUGAUGGCCUCCCGUGCGCCUAGCCGCGCGGUUGGCAUAAAUACCAAGUCCUCGGCGACGCACGCCACGACAAUCGGUGGUUGCGAAACCUCGGUUGCCCGUCGUGUGCGUUCGUCGCGCAUCGAGGGCUCGAAAAAAUGCUCGGCUCCGGCUGGGCUUUCAACGCGACCCCAGGUCAGGCGGGGUUACCCGCUGAAUUUAAGCAUAUCAAUAAGCGAGGA